rnacentral:rRNA from 1 species
UACGUAGGUGGCAAGCGUUGUCCGGAAUUACUGGGCGUAAAGGGCGCGUAGGCGGUUCGUUAAGUCCUGUGUGAAAUCCCCCGGCUCAACUGGGGAACUGCACAGGAAACUAGCGGGCUUGAGUUCGGGAGAGGGAAGCGGAAUUCCGGGUGUAGCGGUGAAAUGCGUAGAUAUCUGGAGGAACACCGGUGGCGAAGGCGGCAUCCUGGACCGGCAUUGACGCUGAGGCGCGAAAGCCAGGGGAGCAAACGGG